UACGUAGGGGCUAGCGUUAUCCGGAAUUACUGGGCGUAAAGAGCUCGUAGGCGGCUUGUCGCGUCUGCUGUGAAAUUCCGAGGCUCAACCUCGGGCGUGCAGUGGGUACGGGCAGGCUAGUGUGUGGUAGGGGAGACUGGAACUCCUGGUGUAGCGGUGAAAUGCGCAGAUAUCAGGAGGAACACCAAUGGCGAAGGCAGGUCUCUGGGCAGUUACUGACGCUGAGGAGCGAAAGCAUGGGUAGCGAACAGGAUUAGA
rnacentral:rRNA from 1 species